UACGGGGGGAGCAAGCGUUGUUCGGAUUUACUGGGCGUAAAGGGCGCGUAGGCGGCCACCGCAAGUCGACUGUGAAAUCUCCGGCUUAACCCGGAAAGGUCAGCCGAUACUGCGGGGCUAGAGUGCAGAAGGGGCAACUGGAAUUCUCGGUGUAGCGGUGAAAUGCGUAGAUAUCGAGAGGAACACCUGCGGCGAAGGCGGGUUGCUGGGCUGACACUGACGCUGAGGCGCGAAAGCUAGGGGAGCGAACGGG
rnacentral:rRNA from 1 species